AGAGUUUGAUCCUGGCUCAGGAUGAACGCUAGCGGCAGGCUUAACACAUGCAAGUCGAGGGGCAGCGAGGGUAAUAGCAAUAUUACCUGUCGGCGACCGGCGCACGGGUGCGUAACGCGUAUGCAACCUACCAUCAACAGGGGGAUAACACUGAGAAAUUGGUACUAAUACCCCAUAAUAUCUCAUGCGGCAUCGCAUGGGGUUGAAAACUCCGGUGGUUGAUGAUGGGCAUGCGUUGUAUUAGCUGGUUGGUGAGGUAACGGCUCACCAAGGCGACGAUACAUAGGGGGACUGAGAGGUUAACCCCCCACAUUGGUACUGAGACACGGACCAAACUCCUACGGGAGGCAGCAGUGAGGAAUAUUGGUCAAUGGACGCAAGUCUGAACCAGCCAUGCCGCGUGCAGGAUGACGGCUCUAUGAGUUGUAAACUGCUUUUGUACGAGGGUAAACCCCGAUACGUGUAUUGGGUUGAAAGUAUCGUACGAAUAAGGAUCGGCUAACUCCGUGCCAGCAGCCGCGGUAAUACGGAGGAUCCGAGCGUUAUCCGGAUUUAUUGGGUUUAAAGGGUGCGUAGGCGGUUUGAUAAGUUAGAGGUGAAAUGUCGGGGCUCAACCCCGAAACUGCCUCUAAUACUGUUGGACUAGAGAAUAGUUGCGGUAGGCGGAAUGUAUGGUGUAGCGGUGAAAUGCUUAGAGAUCAUACAGAACACCGAUUGCGAAGGCAGCUUACCAAACUAUAUCUGACGUUGAGGCACGAAAGCGUGGGUAGCAAACAGGAUUAGAUACCCUGGUAGUCCACGCAGUAAACGAUGAUAACUCGUUGUCGGCGAUACACAGUCGGUGACUAAGCGAAAGCGAUAAGUUAUCCACCUGGGGAGUACGUUCGCAAGAAUGAAACUCAAAGGAAUUGACGGGGGCCCGCACAAGCGGAGGAACAUGUG
rnacentral:rRNA from 1 species